AUUGAACGCUGGCGGCAGGCCUAACACAUGCAAGUCGAGCGAGUGGCGGACGGGUGAGUCAUGUCUGGGAAACUGCCUGAUGGAGGGGGAUAACUACUGGAAACGGUAGCUAAUACCGCAUACCAUCGGAUGUGCCCAUAUGGGAUUAGCUUGUAGGUGGGGUAAAGGCUCACCUAGGCGACGAUCCCUAGCUGGUCUGAGAGGAUGAUCAGCCACACUGGAACUGAGACACGGUCCAGACUCCUACGGGAGGCAGCAGUGGGGAAGAUUGCACAAUGGGCGAAAGCCUGAUGCAGCCAUGCCGCGUGUAUGAAGAAGGCCUUCGGGUUGUAAAGUACUUUCAGCGGGGAGGCGUUACCCGCAGAAGAAGCACCGGCUAACUCCGUGCCAGCAGCCGCGGUAAUUC
rnacentral:rRNA from 1 species